rnacentral:rRNA from 1 species
UGGGGAAUAUUGGACAAUGGGCGCAAGCCUGAUCCAGCCAUGCCGCGUGAGUGAUGAAGGCCCCUAGGGUUGUAAAGCUCUUUCACCGGUGAAGAUAAUGACGGUAACCGGAGAAGAAGCCCCGGCUAACUUCGUGCCAGCAGCCGCGGUAAUACGAAGGGGGGCUAGCGUUGUUCGGAUUUACUGGGCGUAAAGCGCACGUAGGCGGACUUUUAAGUCAGGGGUGAAAUCCCGGGGCUCAACCCCGGAACUGCCUUUGAUACUGGAAGUCUUGAGUAUGGUAGAGGUGAGUGGAAUUCCGAGUGUAGAGGUGAAAUUCGUAGAUAUUCGGAGGAACACCAGUGGCGAAGGCGGCUCACUGGACCAUUACUGACGCUGAGGUGCGAAAGCGUGGGGGAGCAAACAGGAUUAGAUACCCUGGUAGUCCACGCCGUAAACGAUGAAUGUUAGCCGUUGGGGGAGUUUACUCUUCGGUGGCGCAGCUAACGCAUUAAACAUUCCGCCU